CUCAUCAGUCAGCUGUAGAGUUAAAUGGCGGAGAGUCAGAUAAAGGAUCCAUUUCUGUUGAUGCAGUGAUUGAGUCUCCUCUUGAAGAUGCACAAAAUGAAGAGUCAGAUAAAGGAUCACAUGCAGGUGACCACCCUCAUCAGUCAGAUGUAGAGUUUAAUGAUGGAGAGUCGGAUGAAGGAUUGGGUUCUGUUGAUGCAGUGAUUGAGUCUGUCCUUGAAGAUGCACAUGCAGGUGACCACCCUCAUCAGUCAGAUGUAGUAGAGUUUAAUGGCAGAGAGUCAUAUAAAGGAUCUGGUUCUGUUGAUGCAG